GCAUUCGUGGUAGAGAUAAAUGGAUCCGACGAAAUUUGAAAAAAAAUAGAUAUCUGGGGACGUUGACCUCAGAGAAAAAAUAGUUUAAGACAACAAAUUUUGGUUUUUACCUGAAUUUUUCAAAUAAAUUCUUUACUAUGAAUAGAAAGCGGCUGCACAGAGUUUAAACUAUAAAAUCAUCCUAAAAAUUUCAUUUUUACAUAUGGACAUUUUUGUUUUUCUUGAAAACAAUUGAGCUGAUAUGGUGAUUUAAACUCAAGGUUUAUCAAUGAAAAUGAAAAUGGGACGGGCAUAAGGUUCGGAGAAAGAAAAUCAUCACAGAUUUUUUAGAGACAUUGAAAAAAAAAGGUGGUUGGAUUGACAAAGAAUCCCUCAUAUAAGAGUGUGUUUGCCGGAUUUUCUUACACUUGUAUAUACAACUAUCGGACAAGAAGAUUUUAAGCGAGAUCUUUAAUAUUGAAUCGUGUCACAUAUCAUUUCUACGUUGAGAAUCAUACCUGCGUUCUCAAGUACUGGGACUGCUUGUGCAUCAACAUCAUCGUCUAACACAUCAGGGAUUUCUCCACCAAUGUCCAUGUGAUCUUCCUGGGCCUCUGGAUCAAUGAAACCUUCAGGAUGAUUACGAUAGACGUGUUUGACGUACGAAUCCCAUUUUUUGAACGUGGCCCCACAUCCUCUCUGAUCAACAUUCACACACCGAACAUGACAUAUCGAACACGUCAGAUGAUCCAUAUUAAACAAGGGGGGAAUGCCAUUAUAAGGAACUGCGUAUAGCUGUUGUUGCUAAGAAAUUAGCAACAAGCUUCCGAAUGGAUUUUUGUUUCUCAGAUUUUAUUGUUUCCACUUUUUUUCCUCAUUAUAAUAUUUAUUCGAAUACAUAGAAAUGUAUCUAAAUUGUCUUUAUAUUCAAUUAAAUUUUUAUCACCUCAUCAUGUGAUAAAGUACUCAAUUGAAAAUCGAAUUAUAAUGCAAUCGAGUGAAGUUGGUUCGUUAUGAAAUUGUUUCAUUCAUACUAUCACUGACAGCUCCAUCAAUUGUGCAAAACAUGUCGAAAGAUUCAUUGAAAAGAUCUCAUGAUACGAUUGAUAGUAAUUCGUCUUCACAAUCAGGAACAUCUUAUAGAGGAAAUCAAGAGGUUGGAAACACAGACGAAACGUUUAAUUUUACUCUCACUCCAUCCCAUAUUCUUCGUAUGUACCACAAUGACAUUAAAUCGCGAAUGAUAUCUAUUGUCGGAGUAGUUGAUCAGGUUAUUCCUAUAAUUACGCUAAGUGGUCCUGCGAGCAAGAGUUUGUUUAAAUGGACCUUGAAUAAUGGCGAUUGUGAACGAGGUUCUCUUUAUUAAUGGAAUUUUCAUGAGGGCUGGAAAUCCAAAAUAUAUAAACGGAACAGUAUUAUUCCAGUUGACUAUUCAGUCGAAUACCACUAUAAAUGUGAUGCACAAAUUUGGCCCUAAUAUUCAUCAAUUAAAUAUUUUGAACCAAAAUUUAAGGUUGAUUGAACUGGAAGAUGUGUGUAAUCAUCGUCAAUGGAUUCGUGUACAAGGUUUUAUCAAGACCAAUUUUUCCCUGAUUCAAAGAGCAGAAGGAUCACCUUCAGUUUGCUUUGGUGCCAUUGGGGCUGAUGAUUUCUGUUUGGAAGUGAAAAUUGUUCAGUUUGAUAAUCCUUUAACUCAUACUUUUGAAAUAGGACAAAAUGUUGAGUUUCAGGGUUUUAUUCGGAAAUCAGAGGAUUUUCCACCUCAACUCAUUGCUCGUACCCUAGGAGACAUCGUUGUGAUUGAUGGAGUUGUCAAAGAUGUGUCCUAUCUAUGCGAAUGUGUUAAGAGUCCCGUCGAAAAUGUGAAAAAAUCUCGGCAGGAUUGAUUCAAAUUUUUUUAUUUGUUUUUCAUGGAAAUUUUGUCCAUUUUACCAUCAUUUAUACAUCAACUUUUCUUUUAUUGGAAUUUUUAAUCGUACAAGUAAAAAAUUUCCUCUCUCUACCAUUGUCAUUCGAAAUUGUAUUCAAUUUAUUAAUUUAAUCCAUAAAUUACCAGUA